rnacentral:rRNA from 1 species
AUUGAACGCUGGCGGAAUGCUUUACACAUGCAAGUCGAACGGCAGCACGGACUUCGGUCUGGUGGCGAGUGGCGAACGGGUGAGUAAUGUAUCGGAACGUGCCCAGUCGUGGGGGAUAACGUAGUGAAAAUUACGCUAAUACCGCAUACGAUCUAUGGAUGAAAGCGGGGGAUCGCAAGACCUCGCGCGAUAGGAGCGGCCGAUAUCAGAUUAGGUAGUUGGUGGGGUAAGGCCCACCAAGCCAACGAUCUGUAGCUGGUCUGAGAGGACGACCAGCCACACUGGAACUGAGACCCGGUCCAGACUCCUACGGGAGGCAGCAGUGGGGAAUUUUGGACAAUGGGCGAAAGCCUGAUCCAGCCAUUCCGCGUGCAGGAUGAAGGCCCUCGGGUUGUAAACUGCUUUUGUACAGAACGAAAAGGUUUCUACUAAUACUAGGAGCUCAUGACGGUACUGUAAGAAUAAGCACCGGCUAACUACGUGCCAGCCGCCGCCGUAA